AGACCCGAAACCCGGUGAUCUAGCCAUGGGCAGGUUGAAGGUUGGGUAACACUAACUGGAGGACCGAACCGACUAAUGUUGAAAAAUUAGCGGAUGACCUGUGGCUGGGGGUGAAAGGCCAAUCAAACCGGGAGAUAGCUGGUUCUCCCCGAAAGCUAUUUAGGUAGCGCCUCGUGAAUUCAUCUCCGGGGGUAGAGCACUGUUUCGGCUAGGGGGCCAUCCCGGCUUACCAACCCGAUGCAAACUGCGAAUACCGGAGAAUGUUAUCACGGGAGACACACGGCGGGUGCUAACGUCCGUCGUGAAGAGGGAAACAACCCAGACCGCCAGCUAAGGUCCCAAAGUCAUGGUUAAGUGGGAAACGAUGUGGGAAGGCCCAGACAGCCAGGAUGUUGGCUUAGAAGCAGCCAUCAUUUAAAGAAAGCGUAAUAGCUCACUGGUCGAGUCGGCCUGCGCGGAAGAUGUAACGGGGCUAAACCAUGCACCGAAGCUGCGGCAGCGACGUUUAUGCGUUGUUGGGUAGGGGAGCGUUCUGUAAGCCUGCGAAGGUGGCCUGUGAGGGUUGCUGGAGGUAUCAGAAGUGCGAAUGCUGACAUAAGUAACGAUAAAGCGGGUGAAAAGCCCGCUCGCCGGAAGACCAAGGGUUCCUGUCCAACGUUAAUCGGGGCAGGGUGAGUCGACCCCUAAGGCGAGGCCGAAAGGCGUAGUCGAUG
rnacentral:rRNA from 1 species